GUGCUCGCUUCGGCAGGACAUAUACUAAAAUUGGAACGAUACAGAGAAGAUUAGCAUGGCCCCUGCACAAGGAUGACAUGCAAAUUCGUGAAGCGUUCCAUAUUUAA
rnacentral:snRNA from 1 species